rnacentral:lncRNA from 1 species
CAGCAUCUCUGUUCUGUCAGAUGAGCAUUAUCAGUGCCCAGGACCUGCCACACUUCCCUGGACCUUUCUCCAUCAAUGAGCAAGGUUGGCUGCAGGCACCAUCCCAGGGCCUCCUAGGCCAGGCUCAAAAGCAGACGGUGUGGUCCGGACCACCACGCCCCUAGAGUUAGCUCGCACCUCAGGCACCGCGGUCUCCAGGCUGCAGGUGAAGGCCUUUGAGCAGGGCCGGCCGUGGGCCAGUGCCAAGCUCAAUCUCACCAUGAAUGUGCAGCUGGUCAACCUCUGGCCUCCACGCUGCCUCCCAGCGCUUCUGGUGUGAGUACACGGGAACCAUACUUGGGCUGCUGGGGUCAGAGCCAUGACUCAGGGUACUGCCAGACUCCUGCGUUGCUGCCACUGCAUACUCUCAGGUCCCAAAUCCCGGAGACUGCACCUGUGGGCACCGUGCUGAAUACUCUCACUUGCGAAGAUCCGGACUCUGUUGGUGCCACCCUGGACUACAAGCUGUGGUUCCGCAGCUCUUCCAACCCUGCCAGCCUCUGCCUUUAUGACAGAGUCCUUGAGGUGCCCAGCCCCAGCUCCCAGACCCACUUGCAGGGUGCUUGCAGUGGGAAGGGGUGGGUGGGCCAAGGGUCUCUGAGACCAUGGGAGUGGGGGUGGAGGGAUGGCUGUCGAGACAACCUGUGUUGCAGUCUGGAAAACAGGAUCCAGGCAAGAUAUUUGCGGAUGCCCUGGCCUACAGCAGCCCCGUGUGGCUCAGGGCUCUCUCAGGCCCUGGCUGGACCUCACUUUCUAGCCCCUUUGGCUAGGUGAAUGCCACACUGGACUGUGACACUCCUGGAGCCUGCUUCCAGCAUGCAGCCUCCAUCCUGGUGCUUGAUGGUGGCCAGCCCCAGAUGACCACUGAGGUGCCGGUACUGGUGAUGGUGACACCCAUCAACGAGUUCUCCCCAGCCUGUGCCCCUCGCACGUUCCGGGUUCAGGAGGAUGCGGCGCCCCACACUCUACUGGGCUCCGUGGUGGGCACGGAUAUGGAUUACCCUCAUGACAACAUUGAGUACUACACCCCUGGUGGUCCUACCACCUUUGCUGUGGACCGUCUCAGCGGUACAUCCAC